CCGUGCUAGAUGGGGAGUUAGCGGUGCCCUGUAACCCGGAACCCGCUUUACCGGGGUCGAAUCCCCGCCUGAGGUCUUCUCCUCUGAGACAGGGGAGGGGUAAGAGGCGAUGAAGGUCAGGUCUUGCGCAACCCAGGCUCACCUAACCCCGUCAGGACCGGAAGGUAGCAGCGGUAAGUGAAUACCUGAGUGUGCCGUAAGAGAGCCUGGCUGGAGCCUGACUGCGUCCGAACCUCCUUGGAGUGAGGGAUCAAAGGUGGGUGCACGG
rfam:Candidate division Zixibacteria bacterium RBG_16_43_9 RBG_16_scaffold_7333, whole genome shotgun sequence.